rnacentral:rRNA from 1 species
UACGUAGGCAGCAAGCGUUGUUCGGAUUUACUGGGCGUAAAGGGUGUGUAGGCGGUUGUUUAAGUUUGGUGUGAAAUCUCCCGGCUCAACUGGGAGGGUGCGCCGAAUACUGAAUGACUAGAGUGCGGGAGAGGAAAGUGGAAUUCCAGGUGUAGCGGUGAAAUGCGUAGAUAUCAGGAGGAACACCGGUGGUGUAAACGGCUUUCUGGACCAUAACUGACGCUGAGGCACGAAAGCGUGGGUAGCAAACAGG